CGUCUUGUGGGGUGUUUGCGCCUCUGAGCAAACCUUUGAGAAACGCUGGUGCUUGGGGGCUUUGUGCUACAGAACUGUGCUCAUCGUCAGCGCGGUUUGAUGUCUGAGGAGCUCCCUGAGGUGGUCACGAAAAAUAACUGUGCUAAAGUUAAUGUGGAACUGAGAGGGGGGAUUUGUUAGUGGCAUAACCUUCCAGAGCUGUGUAGAAUGCGGUUUUCACAGCGAUGACUGUUGGCCGUUAAUUUUCUCUCUGUAAACAAAAACGCGGCUGCUCAGCUUUGUCCAAGAAUUAAAUCUGAGGAACAACUUCUUUACAUUGAGGGUGACAGAACUCUGAAACAGGCUGCCCAGGAAGGUCGUGGAGUCUCUCUCUCUGGAGACAUUACAAACCCACCUGGAUGCGUUCUUGUAUCACCGGCUCUAGGUGACCUUGUCUUGGCAGGGACAUUGGACUAGAUGAUCUCCAGAAGCCCCUUCAAACCCUAACAAUUCUGUGAUACUGUGAUCUCUUUGGCAACAUGGUUUGUGCUAGAGGAUUAAAAAGGCCUUAAGAAUCUUUUUAUUUUUGACUUGAUGAAGUAGUUAUAUUCCUGUAGUCUUUUUUCUUUUCCUUUUGAGAAAACCAUUUUUGUUGUUGUUUUAUAAAAAUAGGUCUGGUUUUUUUCUGUCCUUCCUGCAGUAAUGACAAUGUAUAUGAGUGACUUACCUGAUGCCAUAUUUUCACUAGAUUGUGCUCUGAUAUAGUAAUCUAAUAAUGGUAAUGAUUAAGUAUGUGUACAUCAGUGAACUUGAAACAACCAUAUUUGCAGAACUGACAAUGUUACCAGUGUGAUAAGCAGGCUUAAAAAUUUGUGUGUGGUCAGUCACAGAUUUGAUACUCAACUGAAAUAUUUGGAAUUAUAGCAGAACUGCAUACUGUCUUUGCGUCAAUUUUAGUACCUAGUGCUGGCAAACUUAGCUAAUGAGGAGGUGAGGUGAAAACACAGAAGGCAAAACAUUUGAGGGUUUUUUCUAAAACUUAAAACAGGAAUACAAAGAAAUUCUUAAUGUGAAGAGGUAUAAGCUUUUCUGUCCAUUUUGAGGCUCUCUCGUAAUUUUUCAUGCGGUUCUAGCAAUGACAUUUUUGAGAAUUGCAUUUAGAAUACUUGAAAAAUCCUUGUACCCUUAGCCUAGUUUCCACAUUUAUGUAUUCUCUAUUAUAUUCAGGUUUUGUGGUGAUAUCGUGUUGGGAGUGAGAAAAGGUUUCCUACCUUAACCUUUUGUGCAAUGCUGAGAUACCAGAUUGAGGACUCAUGUACUACAGGAGGUACAAUCUUCAGAGCAAAGUCAAAUCAGGUGGAUGAGCUGAUCCAACAGUUGUCCACUCCAGGAAAUGAGGUUUCACUUCUUCAUGCACCCCUUGCUGAUGUCCAUCACCCCUUGCUGAGCCAGAACAUUUCACUAAGCCAGAAGAAAGCCGUCCAAUGGACUGAUGCGGUUUAAGAUUUGUUUGUUGGGUUUUGUUGGGUUUUUUUCAAACUAGCAUUAAUCUUAUGCCAGAUUAUUAAUUAGAAUAUCUCACAGACAAGACCAAAGACUGCUAGAGCCAGUUUAAUGUAGGAGGGUAGGGAGAUUCAACUUGCAGAUCGCUCAAAUAUUUCAUAGCCACAAUAGUGAACUGAUUCUCUAGGUUUUCUCACAAUUCCUGACUGGUGUCUGCUUCUGAAGCUGUGUUUUUGGUUUAACAUGAUGUUAUUCCCCUAACAGGUGCGCUCCUUUAUUGCCGUGAUACAUUCACGUGAUUUACAAAGGUGUCAUUCUAAAUUUUUUUUUAAAGUAAAAAUAACUGAAUAGAUUGACCAGUCAGGAUUGACUGAGGUACAUGGUCUUCUAUUGUCAUGCAAUCUGUCCUUGUUAAUAAACUUAUUUCUUCACUAGUUUUUUGAUUUUGAUCAGGAGUGGGAUGAUACUUUAGAUAGUAAUGAGAUAAUAAAGACAGUAGUUCAGUAAUGUGUUGUCAUGGGGCUUAUUUCACUUCCAUUUUUGAAUGCUACUUAGUAUUAACUCGGCUUGAAGCUUCUGGAAUUUCUUUGAUAUUCCAAAAUUUGUUAAGCCUUUAUAUUGGCAAAUGA